GGGCGAAUGGUCUAGAGGUAUGAUAUUCGCUUUGCACUAAGUCAUCCGUGUUUGCGAAGGGUCCGGGGUUCAAUUCCCCGUUCGUCCA